UGCCUCAUUCACAAGUGAAUGGUAUUUUUA
rnacentral:piRNA from 1 species